UACGGGGGGGGCGAGCGUUGUCCGAAGUUACUGGGCGUAAAGAGCGCGUAGGUGGGUCAUCAAGUCCGCUGUGAAAGCCCGGAGCUCAACUCCGGAGGGUCGGUGGAUACUGUUGGUCUUGAAGGUGCUAGGGGGAGGUGGAAUUACCGGUGUAGCGGUGAAAUGCGUAGAGAUCGGUAGGAACACCAGUGGCGAAGGCGGCCUCCUGGAGCAUACUUGACGCUGAGGCGCGAAAGCUGGGGGAGCAAACGGG
rnacentral:rRNA from 1 species